rnacentral:rRNA from 1 species
ACGGGUGAGUAACACGUGGAUAACCUGCCCUCGGCACCGGAAUAGCCCGGGGAAACUCGGAUUAAUGCCGGAUAGCCCCACAUCCCUGCGGGGAACGUGGGAAAAGGUAGCUUCGGCCUCUGGCCGAGGAUGGGUCCGCGGUGGAUUAGCUUGUUGGCGGGGUAACGGCCCACCAAGGCGACGAUCCAUAGCUGGUCUGAGAGGACGAUCAGCCACACUGGGACUGAGACACGGCCCAGACUCCUACGGGAGGCAGCAGUGGGGAAUCUUGCGCAAUGGGCGAAAGCCUGACGCAGCGACGCCGCGUGCGGGAAGAAGGCCUUCGGGUUGUAAACCGCUUUCAGGAGGGACGAAGCCACUCGGGUGAAUAGCCCAGAGGGUGACGGUACCUCCAGAAGAAGCCCCGGCUAACUACGUGCCAGCAGCCGCGGUAAUACGUAGGGGGCAAGCGUUGUCCGGAUUCAUUGGGCGUAAAGAGCGUGUAGGCGGCCAGGUAGGUCGGUUGUGAAAACUGGAGGCUCAACCUUCAGACGUCGACCGAAACCAUCUGGCUAGAGUCCGGGAGAGGAGAGUGGAAUUCCUGG